GCUGCUUAUGUACUAUUUUCCAAA
rnacentral:siRNA from 1 species